rnacentral:lncRNA from 1 species
CUUGUCUGAACAUGGUGAUUUCACAUUUUGAGCUUAAAAGGAUACCCUGAAAUCCAGUCAAUGUGCCUCACUAGACUUUUCAGAGAAUAUUAUUCUUGACAGAAAAUGUUGGCUUGAUAUGUGAAAACUUAGUUAGAAAUGGCAGGUGUAGUAGUACACUUUGCCAGUUCUUCAAAUACCUAUUUUUUUCCCUUUUCAUAGGUUUGUGUGAGCUAAUUCUUUUUUUUCUCUUUUUCUCUUACACUAUAUAUACACACACGUGUGUGUAUAUAUGUGUGUGUGUGUGUGUUUGUGUGUGUAUGUACCCACAAACACUGUUCAAAACAAAAAUGGAGGCUCGUCCUUGGAUCUCAGAAGGCCGCAAGUGGUGACAUGGAAACAAAGACAUGUAAAAAGCAGAUCACCACCUCUUACAGCAAACAUUGAGUGACAAAGUUCUAAAUAUCUAAGUGAUGUCCAAAAGAAUAUUUAUGGAACAUUUUAAGAAGACGGUGAGUGUGAGAUUUGAAACGUGAUGCCAACUAGAAGGUGAGGAAUUGGCUAUCUAUCAUUCAUGGACAUGAAUGGAGCCUAAGAAAGAUGGACAAGGAUUUCAUCCAGAAACUUUAAGAUUCUUUUUUUGUGCAUGAUAGGUACUGAUCAGACUCCAUUAAAUAGCUGUUUUGGAGAUACCUUUCAUAUUGGAACUUCUGACUGGCUCCUCAUUUUCUAGCUUCAGAUUCUCUAAUUCAUCUGUCUGCCAGUGGGAAAGAAGAUGAACCACAUCACACUCUUCAUAAAUCUGCAGUUGACAUAUUUAAAAAGUUAAUUAGAAAUAAGCAAUAAUCAGGGAAGAGGACAAAGAUUAUAUAAGUUGAUAUUGAGAGCAUCUUUUGUCACUGUCGAAACUGAAAAAUUUUCAUGUUUAUUUACUGAACAUUUGGAUUCAUAAAUUUCAGACAUUUCUUUAAACCUUUGGUCCAUAGGAACCUCAAGAAAUUUACACAGCAAGAUACAAGAUGAUUGCAACCCAGAAUGAUUUAGGGUAGUUUUGCAAACCUUUUUUCUGUUAACAUAGUUAAGGAGAUUUUUCUGGAGUAUCCUGAGAAGUUUUGCUUGUGGACUGCUAGAGAAGUUUGCACCUCAUGCCAAUUUAAGGGGUCCUUGGCCAGGCCUAUCCUGUAAAGACAUUCUUUAGAUCUUUUUGUCCUGAAUUCAUUUGCCUGAUCUAACAGCAGCAGGAGAACAUCUCUCACACCAGUUUUCUCCCCAAGAUGGCAGUGUGUGAAGGGUAUCUACUGAAUUGAAAAUUAUUUGGGCUGGGUAAAACUUGAAGUGCUGGGCUAUUCUGGACAAUCUCAAGUAAACAUAAGCCAACCUUGUAGAUAUAUGUGGACAGGAAGCUAAGGAUAAUACAUUUUAAAUUCAGCUAGAAGCUUUCAUUAGCUACAAAAUUAUAGACAAAAUAAAAAUUUAUAUUCGCCUAAAGCAGCUUCUUGAUUCAGAUAUUUACAUUUCCUUAGUUAUCUUUGGAUUUGGGGUGGAGUAAGAAUGUUUUCCUUGCUGUGUGUGGAAUAUCAAGCUAACUUCAAAAGAUUUACUGGUAAAAGCCCUAUAUAAAUAUAAAUGGUAGUUGUAUGCAUAUGUGAUAAACAAAUCUUAUUCCCUACCCUCUUGGCAUUUUAAAACAAUUUGGAAUCAAAUCCUGUUAAGUAAUUUACUGGACAUAUAUAUCUUAUGAAUUUAUUUAAAUAUUUAGGAAAUUGUGUUUGGGUAAUGGUAUCGAAAUUAAAAUAUAAAAUACUCAGUGAAUGAUUAAUACAUGUGAACUGUUCAUUGGACAUUAUAGAGAGAAUGAAAUUCAAUAUGUAAUAGUUUAUAUUAUUGUAUUUUAUUCUUUACUCAGUCUUUUUUUAUAAAAAAAUAUUAUUUUUAGAUACUUUUGAAAAUGAAAAUUGUGAUAGUAGAACUUAUUUCCUAAAGAAGUUUUACAAACCUUUUACAUGUUUGGUAAAAUUCUCUUCUGGAAACACUUUUAGAAGGGGAUUCCGAGAACAUUUUGUAAGCUAUGAAGAAUUCUAUAUUGUUUAUGGAUAGCAGAAAAGAGAUAGACAUGGGAACAUUUAAUACAUCAAUCAGAAAAGCAAAGGAAGGUACUAGUUAUUGUUUAUAUGAAAUAACCAAAUAUAUUUGCUUUGUGACAUUUGUUAAUGUAUUGCAAAUGCUAACAAGGAGUUUGGUAAAACAUAUAGAAUAAUUAUUUUUAUUACAUGAUUAUAGAAGUGCUAUUGUUAGAAUGUACAUCUGAGUAAUGUACAUUUGAAAUCAUUUGAUUGGAUUAUUGCUUUUGGUUUUUGGUGGAGGGGAAUGUCCUGUAUGUAACUGUCACAUAAAUUUUAUUAAGUCUGCUCUAACUGAAUAUAGAUAUUAUCCUGUAAAUGGUCAUUAUGUUAAAAUUUGUAUGGGGCGAUAUUACCUUAUUGUGGAACUUUUGCACAAUGAACACUUGCCUGUUAAGGCUUUAGUGGUCCGUUAUAUUGGUUUGUAUAUGUAAUAGAAAAGGUACUCUGUUACAAUCCCAUCAGUAAUAGAGAGGACUGACAUUUGAGGCAUUUCAGUUAUUAUAAUGUAGUGUUGAUUACUGAGACAAAUGUCUAGACGACUACAGAUUAGGCAAAUAAAAGCUAGAUAGAGAAUAGAAAAUUUCGAUGUUUGUAUAUAUGCAUACGCACAGAGACAUUUAAAAGGGCACUAAGGCUUUAUUCUCAGAUAUUGGGAAUCUAUGACUAUUCUAUAAAUAAUCUAAUGUUUGGUUGGUAGUUUUUUUUUUUGCCAGUGGAAUUGUUAAAUUAUCUCUCCAUAUUAUCUCAUUUUCUGGUAGAAAUUGUUAAAACUUUUUGUUACAAUGUUAAUUUUUUCUUUAACCUCUAUAGUUUUCUACAUGUAUAAACAUUAUAAAUACAUAUCACUCUAAUAGUAUAGAAAUAUUUCUAUUUGGCAAAAGAGAUGUUCCAUCUAGCCUCUCAUUGUAAUCAUUGGGUACAUCAUUAGGCUGAAUUUAUAGGUUAUGAGAAUUUCAUUGUGUAGUGCCUGGUAUAAAUAUAUCAUUGCUUUAUGACAGGAUUCCUUAUGAUGAAAACAUCACUGGACUGCUUAUUUGUGGUUUUUGGAUAUGUGUGUAUACAAAUAGAAUAUAACACUUUGAGUAACAUAAAAAUCUCUGCAUUUGAUAAAAUAGCAUAGCUUAGAAAAAUUUUCAGGGGUCAGUGGAAUUUGACUUUUGAUGAAAAUAGUGAAUUGCUUUAAAACACUUUUUUUCUAGUUGUAGGGAAAUUUACAAAUUUAUAGAGAAUUUACAAGUUUUAUGGGUGAUGUUAGCCAUGAUCCAGCAGACCUGAGUACACUAAAUAGUGGCUUGAUCAAGAGAAUGUUUUUGCGUUAUGUGUAUUCAAUAGACACCACUGCUAUGCUUUUUAAGCAUAGAAAUGAUUAUUUCUGUGUGUUUUAGCUAUACAUAGAAGUAAACAGUUCCUUAAUGAUUGUCAGAUUAUUUCUGAGUAGAUAAUUUGGCAGCUGAAGUGUGCUCUUUUAGAUGGUCGUGAAUAAAAUAGAAUAUAUGAUGGUUUUUGCUUUACACUUAUCAGGAUUUCUUACAUAUAAAUAUGUAUACAUGGACAUUUGUGUGGAAUAGAUGUGUUCAUUAAAAGGCAUAGUAUAGAAUUUUUUUUGACCCAAUUAUCUUAGCUUUAGUCUAUGUUCUUUGGGUUGUUUGGUCAGAAGUUUUUUCCAGUCUAUUAGAGGAUAUUGUGAGGCUGCUAGAUAUGUGGUAGACAAAUUUAGUGUUUUUUUCUUAUGAUACCUACAAAGGACCUGCUGAUUGAGGUAUAUAUAUUGUGAGUACCAAACUGAUAGACGAAAGUGAAAACAGUAUUUUGGUAAAUUGGAUUGCUAAACUAUGUCUAUUUGAGAUGUUUGGUUGCUUGCUGAGGAUUAUGUUAGUAAUUUGUUUUCUAUAUAGAGACAUACAUUUGAUAAAACAUUUUUGGUUAUAUAAUUUCUGUCAGUAAUUUUAGAAAUAUCUUUUAAAAUGUUAAAGUUAACAGUCAUUGAUUUUAGAGUAAGCAUAUUUAUAAAUUAGGCUUCAUACUGACUUUAACCUAGGUAUUUCGAAACUCUGUCUUCACAUACACACAAACAAACAGAAUUAAUAUUUUAAUGUAGAAAUAAUACCGAAAAAUAUUUUUAUUGUUGUGGCCACAUUGGUGGGAGAAAAAUAUCAAUAGAAGUGUUACAUGACAUCUAUGUGUUUACACAUUGUCAGGGUUGUAAUUCUGUGCAUGUGAUCAAAUUUUUGUUUUUAUACCACAUUAUUCUAUAGCUGUCCAUAAAUUUCUAUCAUAGUUUUGAAUAUUUGCCUAAAACUAAUAGCACAUAAUCAUUUUUUUUUUGUUUGUAGAAAUGUAAUGGUACACUAAGCCUCACAGUUGUAGAAUGUGACUUUUAGACUGAUGUUAUACAUAGUUAUGUUAAAAACACAUUUUUUUCUAGAUAUAGACAUUUCUGAUACUCAUAUACUUUUUAUUUAUGGAACAUGUAGAUAUAACUUAAUUUCCAAGAUGUGUUGUGGCUCAUGAUGCAAUUCAUUUUUCUGCAGAACAUUUUAUAGAAAUGUUUCUGAGUUUGUUACCUGGCAAUAACCAAGAAAAUUUUGUAAAUAAGCAGCAAGAGAAAUAUUUUGUUUUAAACAACUAGUAUUUCUAAAUGGAUUGAGAGUCUCAAAAGGUAUAAUUUUGUAAAUACUGCAUUGUAAGUAUGUUAAUCUUUUAAAAUUAAUGACAUGAAAUUGACAAACAGGGCCUGGAGUUUUGCAAAAUUUGUCAUGUGUUUGUUUGGUGGUUACGAGGAAACAUUGACAAGAUUAUGCAUUUACCCUGUUCUCAUAUAGGAAAAUAAUUUGCCAUUUUAUCAAGUAUGUGUAUUUAAAAACUACACCAUGUAAAACUAUACCAUUUAAAAACCUAUGCCAUUUAAAUUUAUUUGGGCAAAAUUUAGGGGAACAUACAGGGGUUUUCCAUUUACUCCCUGUCCCAACGCAUAUAUAAAUCCUCCUCUGUUAUCAACCCAACACAUGCAUAAUUCACCCGCAUUAUCAAAUGCCCCAUCAAAAUAGUACAUUUGCUACAUUGAUGAACCUAAGUUGACACAUCAUGUCACAAAUCACCCAAAGUCCAUCCUUUACAUUAUGAUUAACUUAGUAUUGUACAUUCUGUGGCUUAGACAGAUGUAUAAUGAACAUAUAUUCAUCAUUAUCACACCAUACAUGUUAAUAAGUGACUUGGUUAAAAAGAUUUUAUACUACCUCUUGGAACUAUACACAGUUCUGUAUGUGUUCCCUUUGUUGCAUGACAAUAUUCAAGACAACUUUGUAAAUAGGCAGAUAUGAGUUUUUAAUUUUUAACAUCUGGUCUUUCUAGAUGUAUAGUCUCACAAAGUACAAUUUUGUAAAUAAUUAAUUGUAAAGUUUCAUGGUUUAUUUCUUCACCUACCAGUGAAAUUGAUACACUUGUGGAUUUCAUGAGUUACACAUAUUUUGGAAUCUGUUUCUUGAUUUGUUACAGCAAAGCAGAGGUUAAAAGGGCAGUUUUUCAUUUUUGCCUUCUCAGCUGAAAGAAAAUUUUACAUUUUAAUUACUCAGUGCUUAGAUUUUAUUUUAUUUGUAGUUGUAUUGCUGAUAGGAAAUUAUAUUUCAAUCAUAAGAAAUGUGUAUUUAAAAAUUUUAUUCACUCUGAAUUAAUAUAGUUUGGUAUUUAUUCGGACUGCAUAACACCAUUCAAGACAAUUUUGUAAAUAAUAGGAAAUAUGUCAUUAAAAAGGCUACUUUUUCUAUAUGCAUGGAAUUUCAUGAGUAUAAAUUUGUAAAUAUCUAAUUGUAAAAUAUCAUAAAUUGGCUUCUAUAAAUGUUUUAACAACUUAGGUAAUUAAUAAUUGGGCUUUUAAGUCUUUGUAACAUUUUUGUGUUUAUGCCACGGGCUUUCUAAGGAUAUCAUUAUGUUCUCAUGCAUAAAAAAUGUUGAGAUUAUACACUUUUAACAAACAAAAUGUCCUUGGGAUUUAAUUUCUCUUUAAGAAGUAAAAGAGACAGGAGAAGGUAAUUGUCCUUUUAAACUAUAGAUUUAUUUAUAGUUAUAUAACUCUGCUAAAAUAACUGCUAUUUUGAUAUGCCAUAUAAAGCUACUGUUUGAAAAGCAAGUAUAGAAGCCUUCCUUGUGUAAUAUAUAAAGGAAUAUUAAUUUUUAUAUAAAACAGUUAAGCUGUAACAUUUCUGUUAUGUUUAUUUAAAUACAUCUAUCCAAAAACAAAAUUUUUGUUGGGAAUAUAUCUGCUAUUAAUUGAAGUGUAAAUAAAUAUAUCGUUUUGAAUAGCAGUUUGGCAAUCAAUCAAAAUUUGUGUAAAACUUUUGAAUUGUUGGAAUUUGCUGAUUACAUUUUAUCUAUUCCUACUCAAGUAAUAUAAAGAAGAAAGUAUGUUAUAGGUUGAGUGUAAGACUAAUGAUAGCUUAUUCAUAUGGAUAUCAUUGAAAAACACUGAAAUAUUCUGAUAUUGAAGGAUGUUUUAAGUUGAUUUUUAAAAUUGUCAGUUUUGAAGAAAGGUCAACUAAAUAUGUAUAAGAGGUCUGUCCAUGUGCCUCUGGUUUCCUGAUUUAAAUAUUCAUUGUUAUUACUGGAAAAUGGGGCUGUCUAGAUACAAUAAUGUGAAGAAAUGCUUACUUAUUUGUGUUACUAUAAUGGCAUUCUUCUUGAAAUUUUUGUACAUGUUUAAACACUAAAACAAUGUUUAUAACUUUGUAUAUUGCUAUGUGACAAUCUAAAAUGCAUAUAGGGGUUAUUGUAGAGAAACUUGCCUGAAAAAACAUGGCAAAAUUUUAACAUUACUGUAUAAAGAGAUGAGAAAUUAAGGGUCUGCUGCUACUUUCCCACAUUUGUAAUUUUAAAGGUGUUUCAAAAGCAACGUUUAAACAACGAAGGGAAUUCUAGAGAUAUAAUUGAUUUGUGCCUGUCCUGAUUGUUGCCUAUUGACAUCUUGGGAAUGUUGGGCUGUUGUAUCCAACUUUGUAUCCUCAGUGGCUGUAAUGAAUAGUUUUGAGUGAUCAUGAAGAACCUGUGACAUAGACUAGUGCAGCAGAGUUACCCAGCGAAAUAAAGACUGUUGGGUUACCGAAGGAAAGAAGAAGAAAGAAGACAGGAUUUGAGGUGAACAUGGUAAAAAAUGACACACUUGCAUAUAACCUGAGGAUAGCUGGCAUCAGGAACAUCCUUAUGCAACUAUGCCUAUGGAGUUCUUAUUCUUAUGCAAACAUGCCUAUGGAGUUCUUUCAUUUAUAAAUUUCAAAUUUAAACCACAGGUGAUGACAGUUACAAGAAAACAUACUUUUGCCACUUUUGUUUUUAAAUCUCAGUAAUUGGUACCACCAGACCUGUUGCAGUAUUCUCAUUCCAAGUGUUCUUCACUCCCAUCUUUGGACCCUGGAGAAGCCCUUGGCCAUCAUAAUCUGUGUCCUUUAGGUGAUGAUUGAUUAGGAUACUGAUCACUUCUGCAACCAUCUUCACUAAAAACCAAAAGACAGUCUUCAUAAUGUAUGUAGACUCGGCAUUGAUGUGUUACAAUAGACACUCCCUGUAGAUCAGAAAAACUGGACUUAGAAGGCUCAAGUUCGAAAGUGACGUGAAGGAUGUUAUUGGAGAGAAUUGUAACCAGGCAUGUUGAGAGAUUUCAAUUGUUGCCAUUGGACUAAAUCUCAGGAGCUUUACUGAUGGAGGCAUCAUUACAUGGAGAAGAUCAGCAUGGAGUGAUUGCAAGGCUUCGUUUCAGUGCUCUCAUAAACAUUAGGUUCUUGUAUUUAAAAUUUUAACUUAUCACAGGGAAAUUUAAAAUUGAUUCAUAAAAAAUCGUCUUUUUCAAGAUCUCAAAGGACAUGGAAAUUUGUGAAGUAUGUUUUUACUUUGCCUUUUCCUAAUUCUAUACAUCCUUUCUAGUGUAUUGAUAAAUUAAUAUGCAAGUCAUUUGGGGGUCUCUAUAUUGGCUAUAGAUUUUUCUUUGCCGUAAGUAUGACUUACUGAUAAAUUGUAAUUUGCCUGAAUAAUUUGUUGAAAUAGUUCCAGUGAAGUAGAACUGCUACUUCUGAAGAUAUCCAAAAUUUAUAUUUUGAGUUCAAUCUACAGAUUUCUCCCAACUGUAUAGAUGGGUCCUCAUCAGUCUUGUUCCCCAGGGUCUAUAUCCCAAAAUUAUACAAGUAUUAGCUGUUUAAUCUUUGGUAAUGUGAGAUUAUACAGAAAUUGCUUUUCUCUGUUGUUUAGCUUGGUCAUCUUCAUGUUAUGCUUAAUCUUUACUGGUCACUUGUGUUAUUUCAUUUUCCUUUUUUUUUCAUUUCCCUUGGAAUAUUAAUGUCUGUGUUACUGAUUUCUAAGAAAUCAUUUAUAAUUAAGGAUGUGAACCAUUUGUCAUGCAUCGGGAAUGAAAUACUGUGUAUUUAUGCCACUAGUUUACUAUGGUGUUCUGUAUUUUGGUUGUGUAUUAAAAUAUAAUUGUG